rnacentral:lncRNA from 1 species
ACCAACACGUGAAAAAAUAAUUCACUAAGAGAAAAGAUUACAAGGUGAUUACCGACUCCACGGACUCAACCUCUCAUAACCUCCUAUGAAUCUUCGCGCUACCCUCCGGGUUGUCCACGCCCUCACGUUCGAAUCCACGAACGCCUCCACUUCGAAUCCACGAAGCUUCAAUCACGCCGAAUCCACGACGCCACUCGAAUCCACGAGCCAAUGCUCCGAAUCCACGAACCGCCU